rnacentral:lncRNA from 1 species
AGCUCAUUCUCCUCCAGUCCUAUCCCUCUCGACAAAUACCUUAGCAGCCUCUCCUCCACCUUAUGCAUAUACUUUGUGUACUCCUCGUUAGCCUCCCUAAAACCAUCCAUAUUCAGUGUAAGUACCAAAAAAUUCUUAAGUAUGAUUCCAAUAGCUAGUUUUAUAUUUUCUAAAUUUGGAUAGUAUUUGCAAUGUACGAAUCUUACAAAACUAUGUUUGAACUAUUUUUAUGUUAGCUGCUUCUUGAUUCUUUUAAUUGAAGCAUAGUAGAUAUUGACAUAUUGUAUCUGUGUCUAUCUUCUCUCAGUAACAGCAAGUUCGGGGUUCGAGUCUCGAUUAAAGCACUUAUCGCUGAACAUCGGGUAAGUGUUAAAAUUCUCUUUGCCUUUUAAAGAAAUCAGUGGGAUUUGACACAAAAUAUGUAGUGGUGCAGCAAGGUGCUAAAUGGUGAUAACAUUCAGUAUAAGAUCCAGGUGUUACCUGUAAGAAGCUGGAUUCUUAGGCCAAAACUUAUAAUUAACAGCAGAUGGAGGAGAUAAUAUGUGAAACAAAUGAUCAACCC